rnacentral:rRNA from 1 species
GAUGAACGCUGGCGGCGUGCCUAAUACAUGCAAGUCGAGCGAACGGACGAGAAGCUUGCUUCUCUGAUGUUAGCGGCGGACGGGUGAGUAACACGUGGAUAACCUACCUAUAAGACUGGGAUAACUUCGGGAAACCGUAGCUAAUACCGGAUAAUAUUUUGAACCGCAUGGUUCAAAAGUGAAAGACGGUCUUGCUGUCACUUAUAGAUGGAUCCGCGCUGCAUUAGCUAGUUGGUAAGGUAACGGCUUACCAAGGCAACGAUGCAUAGCCGACCUGAGAGGGUGAUCGGCCACAUCGGAACGGAGACACGGUCCAGACUCCUACGGGAGGCAGCAGUAGGGAAUCUUCCGCAAUGGGCGAAAGCCUGACGGAGCAACGCCGCGUGAGUGAUGAAGGUCUUCGGAUCGUAAAACUCUGUUAUUAGGGAAGAACAUAUGUGUAAGUAACUGUGCACAUCUUGACGGUACCUAAUCAGAAAGCCACGGCUAACUACGUG